AGUGUUGUGGCUCAGUGGUAGAGCACUUGCCUAGCAAGUAUGAGGCACUGGGUUGGAUCCUCAACAUCAUAU
rnacentral:tRNA from 1 species